UACGUAGGGUGCGAGCGUUAAUCGGAAUUACUGGGCGUAAAGCGUGCGCAGGCGGUUUGUUAAGACAGAUGUGAAAUCCCCGGGCUUAACCUGGGAACUGCAUUUGUGACUGGCAAGCUAGAGUAUGGCAGAGGGGGGGUAGAAUUCCACGUGUAGCAGUGAAAUGCGUAGAGAUGUGGAGGAAUACCGAUGGCGAAGGCAGCCCCCUGGGCCAAUACUGACGCUCAUGCACGAAAGCGUGGGGAGCAAAACGG
rnacentral:rRNA from 1 species